rnacentral:sRNA from 1 species
GGGAUUGAGGCGGUAUCCUUUUUUUGAGGAACGAAAAAAAAGAUAUAGCCGAAAGCCCGACCCGGA